GCCCAGGUGGUGUAGUGGUUUGAUCACUGGACUGCAACUCUGAAGACCAGGGUUUGAUUCCCAGCUUGGCCA